AACAGUCCACACCAUAUCUAUUUAGACAGUGAGGUAUCAGAUUUAGAUUGUAUUGAGUAUACAGUCCACACCAUAUCUAUUUAGACAGUGAGGUAUCAGAUUUAGAUUGUAUUGAGUAUACAGUCCACAGCAUAUCUAUUUAGACAGUGAGGAAUCAGAUUUAGAUUGUAUUGAGUAUACAGUCCACACCAUAUCUAUUUAGACAGUGAGGUAUCAGAUUUAGAUUGUAUUGAGUAUACAGUCCACACCAUAUCUAUUUAGACAGUGAGGUAUCAGAUGUAGAUUGUAUUGAGUAUACAGUCCACACCAUAUCUAUUUAGACAGUGAGGAAUCAGAUUUAGAUUGUAUUGAGUAUACAGUCCACACCAUAUCUAUUUAGACAGUGAGGUAUCAGAUUUAGAUUGUAUUGAGUAUACAGUCCACACCAUAUCUAUUUAGACAGUGAGGUAUCAGAUUUAGAUUGUAUUGAGUAUACAGUCCACACCAUAUCUAUUUAGACAGUGAGGUAUCAGAUUUAGAUUGUAUUGAGUAUACAGUCCACACCAUAUCUAUUUUGACAGUGAAGUAUCAGAUUUAGAUUGUAUUGAGAAUACAGUCCACACCAUAUCUAUUUAGACAGUGAGGUAUCAGAUUUAGAUUGUAUUGAGUAUACAGUCCACACCAUAUCUAUUUAGACAGUGAGGUAUCAGAUUUAGAUUGUAUUGAGUAUACAGUCCACACCAUAUCUAUUUAGACAGUGAGGUAUCAGAUUUAGAUUGUAUUGAGUAUACAGUCCAC